AUUGAACGCUGGCGGCAGGCCUAACACAUGCAAGUAGAGCGGAGCGGCGGAAGGGGGAGGAAUGCCGAGGAAUCAGCCUGGGAGUGGGGGAUAAAGUCGGGAAACGGACGCUAAUACCGAAUAAGAUCAGAAGAGUAUCAGUCGGAUUAGCAAGUUGGUGGGGUAAAGGCCUACCAAGGCGACGAGCCGUAACUGGUCAGAGAGUAGGAUACGUCACACUGGAACUGAGACACGGUCCAGACUCCUACGGGAGGCAGCAGUGGGGAAUAUUGGACAAUGGGCGAAAGCCUGAUCCAGCCAUGCCGCGGGUGUGAAUAAGGUCUUCGGAUUGUAAAGCACUUUAAGUUGGGAGGCGUUACCAACAGAAUAAGCACCGGCUAACUUCGUGCCAGCAGCCGCGGUAAUAC
rnacentral:rRNA from 1 species